rnacentral:rRNA from 1 species
AGUGAACGCUGGCGGUAGGCCUAACACAUGCAAGUCGAACGGCAGCACAGUAAGAGCUUGCUCUUACGGGUGGCGAGUGGCGGACGGGUGAGGAAUACAUCGGAAUCUACUUUUUCGUGGGGGAUAACGUAGGGAAACUUACGCUAAUACCGCAUACGUCCUACGGGUGAAAGCAGGGGAUCUUCGGACCUUGCGCGAUUGAAUGAGCCGAUGUCGGAUUAGCUAGUUGGCGGGGUAAAGGCCCACCAAGGCGACGAUCCGUAGCUGGUCUGAGAGGAUGAUCAGCCACACUGGAACUGAGACACGGUCCAGACUCCUACGGGAGGCAGCAGUGGGGAAUAUUGGACAAAGGGCGCAAGCCUGAUCCAGCCAUACCGCGUGGGUGAAGAAGGCCUUCGGGUUGUAAAGCCCUUUUGUUGGGAAGGAAAAGCAGCAGGUUAAUACCCCGCUGUUCUGACGGUACCCAAAGAAUAAGCACCGGCUAACUUCGUG